rnacentral:rRNA from 1 species
GUCUACAGCCAUGCCAUCCUGAACACACCCAUCUGAUCUCGGAAGCUAAGCAGGGUUGAGCCUGGUUAGUACCUGGAUGGAAGACCACCUAGGAAGACCAGGUGCUGUAGGUA